rnacentral:rRNA from 1 species
GGAGCAGGCGGCCGCAAGGGUCUGUGGUGAAAGAUCGAAGCUAAACUUCGGUAAGCCAUGGAAACCGGGCGGCUAGAGUGCGGAAGAGGAUCGUGGAAUUCCAUGUGUAGCGGUGAAAUGCGUAGAUAUAUGGAGGAACACCAGUGGCGAAGGCGACGGUCUGGGCCGCAACUGACGCUCAUUCCCGAAAGCGUGGGGAGCAAAUA